AGCUCCAGGAGUGUAUAUUAAAGUUGUUGCGGUUAAAAAGCUCGUAGUUGACAUCUUACUGAAACAAGCUUUUCAUUUCGAUGACUUUGAAACUGUUCUUGUUUCGUAAUAACUUUAUGAAUUAGUGUUGGAUUUGAUUAUUCGACAUGACUCUAAGUUUUACCUUGAAGAAAUUAGAAUGCUUAAAUUAGGUUUAUGUAAUGAAUACUUUAGCAUGGAAUAACAACAUUGAAUUUGGAAAGAUUCCGUUGGUUCAUCAUUCCAAUGUAACGAUUAAUAGGAAUAGUUAGGGGUACUCGUAUUUGAUUGUCAGAGGUGAAAUUCUUGGAUUAAUCAAAGACUGUCUAGAGCGAAAGCAUUUACCAGAGAUGUUUUAAUUGAUCAAGAACGAAAGUACGCA
rnacentral:rRNA from 1 species